rnacentral:lncRNA from 1 species
AAUGGCUUGCGCAGAGACGAUCGCUCUUCAUUUACCCGUUCUUGCGCAUGUGUGGGUGCGUUGUGACCAAGCCAGGCAAGCCCUCAAGGAAGGCUAGCGUUAUGUCUGAGCUGACGGAUCACGAAAGGCCUGGCAUGGCCUACUCAUCGUGGCCGCUGCGGCGUCGCGAUUCUGGCUGAAUAAUUGAGCAUCAAGGGCUUUUCACAGCGACUUCAACGGUACUUCAAGCAGGCUGGAAUACUUAGUCAAUGCAGUACUAUGAUUGUAUAAACAGUACUUUGGAACUACUGUCAAUAGCAUCAACUCUUAAAGAACACUUGGAGCUUCUGGUAGUGUCCAAUUGCUGCACCUGGUGUUAAGAAUGGCCUUCAUCCUGUGCCACGCUGCUGAUUGGAUGGUGCACAUCUCAAACCUGGAGGGCUUUGCAAGUUGGGGUUGAUGUGCAAGCAGUAGUCCUGUCACAUUCACUGGUGCCUUCUGGAGUUGUGCAGUUUGGAAAGGUAAGGGCGAUUCUGUCGACAUCGUGCUCCUCUAUGAAUGGUUCAAUAAAAUGCGUAGCAAUGUUGCAACUGAA